CAGUAGCCACGGUAAUACAGAGGGUGCGAGCGUUAAUCGGAUUUACUGGGCGUAAAGCGUGCGUAGGCGGCUUUUUAAGUCGGAUGUGAAAUCCCUGAGCUUAACUUAGGAAUUGCAUUCGAUACUGGGAAGCUAGAGUAUGGGAGAGGAUGGUAGAAUUCCAGGUGUAGCGGUGAAAUGCGUAGAGAUCUGGAGGAAUACCGAUGGCGAAGGCAGCCAUCUGGCCUAAUACUGACGCUGAGGAGCGAAAGUGUGGGGAGCGAACAGGAUUAGAUACCCCCGUAGUCCCUGUCUCUUAUAC
rnacentral:rRNA from 1 species